AGAUUGAACGCUGGCGGCAUGCCUUACACAUGCAAGUCGAACGGCAGCACGGGAGCAAUCCUGGUGGCGAGUGGCGAACGGGUGAGUAAUACAUCGGAACGUGCCCAAUCGUGGGGGAUAACGCAGCGAAAGCUGUGCUAAUACCGCAUACGAUCUACGGAUGAAAGCAGGGGACCGCAAGGCCUUGCGCGAGUGGAGCGGCCGAUGGCAGAUUAGGUAGUUGGUGAGGUAAAGGCUCACCAAGCCUUCGAUCUGUAGCUGGUCUGAGAGACGACCAGCCACACUGGGACUGAGACACGGCCCGAGACUCCUACGGGAGGCGAGCAGUGGGGAAUUUUGGACAAGUGGCGCAAGCCUGAUCCAGCCAUGCCGCGUGCAGGAUGAAGGUCCGUUCGGGUUA
rnacentral:rRNA from 1 species